CGUUUUUGCCAGCAAAAGGAGUCACGGUUUUUGCACCACAAAAGGAUUUUCUAUCGAAAUUCUAAAUUCAUCACAAGUCUCACAUUUGCAUUACAUUUCAGAAUAAACUUUUACAGAUUAAAUCUCCGCCACAUAUUGCAAAUUUAUCAAGGGCCAGAAAUUCACCUCAAAGGUUCACACAGAUCACCCUCAAAUUCCAUCCAAAUGCAGAAGUCGUGACUCCAAUUUUCCCUCUCAAUUCGUCACACAGUCCUCACCCUCACUUUCCCAUACAAACGGCUUUUUGAUUCACAGAAAAGGGAGGAAAAUUGAUAUUGUUAUGCUGCCAAAAUACCUUCAGAAAAUUGGUUCAUAACUUCCUCCAAAAGCUAUCUUCAGUAAACUGCAAAACUGUAAAAUCAUAACACCUUCAACAAACAUCACCUUCAACGAUUUUGCAAAAUUAUCUCACCAACUUACCAUAUUCGUACUACAAUUUCAUACCGAACCGAUUUGUUCAUCAUUACUUCAUCUACGGCCAACUGAGCUGAAUUCAACAUCCAUCAUCAUUUGCAACAAAUCGCAACCUUCACACUGAACAACAUCUUCAACCAGCUAAGCGCACAACUCCACAUCAGCAACAACUCUGAACAACACUACAUCAGAGUUCCACAUAACCAUGAUUUGCAGAUCCGUCAACAAGCUAAGUUUCCAAUCACACAUGACACGCACCUUCAUUAACACAGCAGUAGCGAUUUGAAUAUAAGCAAUGCACAAUAAGCCACGAGAAUUUUCGAAUAGAUCCGCAUAUGCAAGAUUCAUGUCCUUCAGAUAUCAAAUCCAACAUCGUCAUCAUCACUAAUUCGUUCGAGGCGUCAAAACUUACGAGGAUUGAAGAAGAGCAAAAGAAAUCAAGCUCAUCGUGGAUUCGUCCCUCCGAGAACAUUCCGAGUCGUUAGCUGUUGACCGUCAAGCUAUUUCCUCAACACCGCUACGGAACUAGAGCUACCGUCAGACAAAGAAUGGCUGACCAAGAGAAACAUAACAUGGAAUUCAUAAUGGAAAUUGAUGAGUUGAAGUCAGGCAUGAUUAAGCUUACUAAGAUUAUGCAAGUGUUAAUGGCAAGGAUUGAUCCGCCUCAUAGGACUAUUAUUUCCGAAGUCUCCCUAUUAUUGUAUAUCCCUUACAGGUUCGGAAGCCGCCUUCUACUUGGCCUGAAUUUGGGUUACCUGAGAAUUUCUCUCCAGCAUAUGUUAAUGCUUCUAUGGUGGGUCAAACUUCCAGACAAGUAUUUCAUGCUACAAUUUUUUCGAACCUCCUUUCGUGGUUCAUACUCCUGCUCAAGCUGUACACGCUCAAUAUGAUAACCCUCUCUAUGAUUACCGUUUUGUUGGUUCUCGAAGGGUUAGUCAAGGAGAUUGUGGUGAAAUUGAAGAAGCCCGUGAGCAAUAUCAGAAGUUGGAAAAGAGAUUAAGAUCUAUGGAAGGAAGCAAUUUCUUUAGUGUGAAUUCUGAUAAUAUGUGCCUUGUUUCAAAUCUCGCCAUGCCUGCCAAGUUCAAAGUUCCUGAGUUCGAGAAUUAUAAGGGGCAUACUUGUCCAAGGAUUCAUUUGACCAUGUAUUACAGAAAGAUGACUACGUAUACCAACAACCAGAAUUUGCCCAUUCAUUGCUUUCAGGAUAGUUUAAGUGGUGCUUCGUUGAAGUGGUACAUGAGUUUAGAAAAGGUCUGUGUUCAAAGUUUCCAAGAUUUAGCUGAUGCAUUCAUGAAAAAAUACAAGUAUAAUUUGGAUAUGGCACCUGACUGUCGUCAACUUCAAAACAUGGCUCAGAAGGAAAAGGAAUCUUUCAAAGAAUAUGCUCAACGUUGGAGAGAAUUGACUUCCCAAGUUGAACCACCCCUGUCUGAGAAGGAAUUGACUAGCUUGUUCAUGGAUACCCUCUCUCCUUUCUUUCGGGAGAAGAUGAUUGGAAGUGUGUCUUCAAACUUCACUGAUUUGGUAACAAUUGGUCAAAGGCUAGAAGAAGGAAUUAGGAAAGGAAAAGUGUAUGUUGCUGCUGAUUCUUCAAAGAUACCUUUUGGGAGCUUCCAAAAGAAGAAAGAAGGUGAGACCAGUGCUAUUCAAAGACCUUGACAAAGAGCUCAACAUUAUGAUCAACCUCAGGUAGUUGUUGUUCAAGUUCCUCGUCAGAGUACUGGUCAGAAUCAGAAUCACACUGAAAGGAAUAGAACCCAGUUUGACCCUAUUCCGAUGACUUAUACUGAAAUGUAUCCUCACUUGGUUAAAUUGGGCUUGAUUACCACAAGGUCUUUUACUCCCCGAGAUCCCCCUCCUGCUGGAUUCGGGGCUGAUCUUCAUUGUGAGUUUCAUCAGGGAGCUGUUGGUCAUGAUUUAGAGCAUUGUUAUGCACUGAAGGCUAGAGUGCAAGAUUUAGUCAGAGGAAAAGUGAUAAAUUUCACGGCUUGUAUUCCAAAUGUUGUCAACAAUCCUUUUCUAGUUCCUGACAAGUGAAGCUUCAAUCAAAUUCAGAUUAUCUCCUAAAGCUAAGUGUUUCAAAUAGGACAUCUCAUUCUUGUUGCUGAUUAGUCAUUAGGCCAUGUUUCUUUACUGUUUGCAUUUCUUUCAAUUAUAAUGUCUGUUUAAUUUCAAACUUGUUUGUUUCUUACUUGUUAAUUUUAAUGAAAUAAGCAUUGCAUGUUUUGAUUCAAUUCUUCUUAUUUACUGCCUAUGUUUCUCUUAUUUGCUUUAUUUACCAUGUUGUUUAUGCAAAGAUUGGAGGUAGGAUGAUGAAAAUAAAAUACCCAUAAUUGUUGUUGGUGUGCUUUUGAUAAAACGUUGCUGAUGAUGUACAUGCCUUAUUUCAAUUGCCAAACACAAGAGAAAUAAGGAAGUUAAUCCCUUGUCAACCCCUCUGAGCCUUCGAAGUUGGAGUUUCUUUUUAAACGGAAAAACCCGUAAUUUUAACCUAGGGAUGGGUAGUUUUUAGUUUAUUCAUUCGUGCAUUCAAAUACAAGAGUUUCAUUCAAGAUACAUUUCAAUAAAGGUCGCAAUCUCAAGCUUUCCUUCGCACACAUCCAAGAAGUGUCGAAGAUGUUCUCAUGUCAGAAGCAGUGAUGAUGGUUCUCCGUAAUUGUUAAGCAGGGAAGUCACUAUCUUUCUAGAAAGAAAAAAAAAGAAGAAUAAAAAAAUGCAAGAAAAUCCCGCUAAGUUAAAACCUUUGAAGGAGACUUAGGCAAAAUAAAACUGGGGCAUCCCGCUAACUGUAAAUCUCUAAUAAAACAGUUCAGGCAAAAGGUAGGGAAAUUAGAAGAAAAAGUCGGAAAAAAAGAAGUCAAUAAUUCCUAAACAACAAAAUGUUGUAGAAAAGAAGUGACUGCCAUCUCAAAUUAUAUUCCCUGGCUUCUGAAUCAUCAUUGUUAUACAAGUGUUGUAAUUCCAAGUUCUCUUAAAACCUGAAUGCAUAGGUUGAAUUAACUGAAUGUAGGAUGGAAGUCCAUCACGAAGAUGGGGUGGGUACAAAUAAAUUUUGAGCCUUAUAUCCUUUGUUUCUUGAACCAUGAACCAGGCCAUGUUACAACCUUUAAAAGUCCUAAUUGAGGCCAAGUUUAUUUCGAAAGCAUAUUACAACAAGUUUGCCUUAACCUGACUCCAAAAGUUGUGUCAAUCAUCUGUCUUGAUCUAUUUGAUUUACCUUUUACUUCAAAUGCCAUGUUUCUUUGCCUUUCUCAUUGCCUUACAAUUCCAUUUCUGUUGAUUUCAAAAGUUUGCAUGAACUUUACAUUUAGAUUACCAGUCUUAAACAAACAUUUUUGCUUGUAAACAACAUUCCUCAUCAAGGAAUUUUAAACAUUUGUGGAAACUUGGUUCGUGAUUUUAUCAAGGGCAUUUCAUUUCAAGAUUCAGUUCAAGGUUUAUCUCAAUACGAGCUAUUCUCAGAUUUGGUUUAUCAAAAGACUUCUUUAGAGACUCAUGCUGGGGAAAAUGUUUCCAAGUUCCAAGUGCUUAGUCAUUUCCAGAUUUAUUAAAGCUGAAACCAUGAUCAGUCUGUUCUACAUCAAUCAGUUAAGCUGGGAAAAUCUUCUUCAAGAGAAUUCCCUAGGCAUUUUAUCAGUCCAUCUCAAAGGAUCAUCAGUUUAGUACAGUUUGCAAGUGUGCAAAAAGAGCUUUUUGGAAGUGUUCCAAGUGUUGAGGAAUCAGAUAUCCUUUUCUGCCGCACAAAAGAGUCUAUCUCCGUAGUUGUCACAAAUAAAUGCAUUGCAUUGAUCAUUCAUAUCAUGCAUAGAAAAAUUAUCAUGCAUAGAAAAAUUUCACGCUCAUUUACACUUUCCGAGGUCUGGUUGCUAUCGACAUCUUACCUUGAGAUCAAAGUUCAACUCACUUGGCAUCUAUCUAGUACAUAUUUAUCCCUUUGGUUCAUUUGUCUCUGUUUAUCCGAUGUUUAUUUCGGAUUUGUCUCUUUACAACCAUUUUUUUAUCUUGGUUCCCUUACAACCAUGUUUCAUCUUGGUUCCCUUACAACCAUGCUUCAUCUUGGUUUCCUUACAACCAUGUUUCAUCUUGGUUCCCUUACCACCAUGCUUCAUCUUGGUUUCCUCUUACAACCUUGCUUCAUCUUGGUUCCCUUACAACCAUGUUUCAUCUUGGUUCCCUUACAACCAUGCUUCAUCUUGUUUCCCUUAUCCAUGGGCUCUUAAUUACUUAGCUCACUUUGUUUUCAAAAUGUUUGAAGUGUAGUGUGUGAAUAGGAGAAGACUUUUGAAUAAGGACUUUAGCUUGUAAAUAAGCGUAGCCUUUUUUGAAAGUAGUUUUGAAAAGAAGUGGGAAAAGAGUUUGAAUUUAAAUCAGAGCAAGCAAUUAGUAGCAACUACCCUAAUUUUAAGAUUUAUGUUCUUUCAACUUUUCAGUUUGAAAGGGGCUAUCCAUACCAUAGAAGGUAGGAAGUCCUUUCAUUGGAUAUAAAAAGGGUCAUCGAGGAAGUAUCGUUCGCUAUAAAACUGUCCCUACCAUAUAGAGGGUAGGUAGUCUUUAGGGAAGGAUAUAAUAAUCAUUAAUCUUUUUUAGGCAGCAGGCGAGGAUACCUUAGCAAUGGGACAAUCAUCUUAUUUCUGAGGCAACAUCGAGGGACAAAAGUCUUAUGGUGAUUUCAAUGUAUUAAGGCAGCACUUGCUUUAGGUAUCCUCGAAAUCGAGGGACUUGACUAUUCAGAAUUACACUCAAAAGGCAACAGAUAAUAAGGCAACAGGCAACAAGAGGGGUUACCCCAAAGGUGUGUGUGUGGCACAAUCACGUGGUUAAAUUCAGUUAUUUUAUCUUGUAAUUAGUUAUUCUAAUUCAGUUAACAGGCUUGCACUCCCUAGGAUUACUAACCACACAGAAAAAAGAAAACAGUUUAAUGGUCCUACGCUAUUACAAUAAACACUUGUUGAUGCGGGAAAUAAAAGGCAAAAAACAGAAUAAAGGCAUAAAUUAAGAAAGAAAAACAAUUAAUUUAAAUAUCUCGAGCCUUCAUCGAAUCCUUGAUCAACCCUGAAAAAGAAGAGAAAAGUUAGUGCAUUAAAGAUCGACAACCCUAAUUUAUCAGGAUAAAUCAGGGCUAAAACAACUGGUUUAAAUAAAAUAUGAAAAGUAAAUAAUUUAAUAUUUUUAAAUAACCAUAUAAGAAAAUUGAAUGUUCGAUUAAAUAUAAUAAUUAAAUAAUUAUUGGAUUAAAUCCUAAUUAUUUAAUUGAUUAAAAGUAUAUGUGAAAAUUUGAAUUCUUAGUAAAAAACAAUUAUUGGCAGAAUUAAAAAAAAUCGAGUUUUCGAUAAAAAAUAAAUAAUUAUUAAAUUAUUAUAUAACAAAAUGUGAUUUGUUUGAAUAACUUAAGUUUUAAUAAAAAUAAAAAAAAACUAUGAUGAUAAAAAAUAAAAGAAGAAUGAAAAUAAAUAAGGGAUUGUAUAAUUAAAAAUAAAAAAAAUAGAAAAUACUUAGCUCUGAUCCAGUGUGGCAGGUCCCUGGAGGUCUAUGGUAGACUAGCGCUUUCUGGUGCGUAGGAUUUGAAACUGGGGUGAUCCAAUGAAAGAACGCUGAGGGACCAUAGUAUCCUCGUGAGUCUUAAUGCACCGGAUCCCUGAACUUGCCACCAUCCUUACGCGCCUUUUCUUGGUUUGAAUGGACCAAUGGCGUGGUGACACGGCUUCCUCUUCUUCAUGGAAACUUUCAUUAUGCGCUUUUUACAACGCUUAUUACAUAAACGCUAUAAAAAGCCAUACUUAUUACACCUACAAAAUCAUAAACCCCACAAAACGAAGCAAAAAUUUGGCGCACCCCCAUGGAUACGAUCGUCCAGGCGUCAUGAGUUCAAUGAUACCUACCUUCAACCCUAAUUUUACAUGUAACGCAAAGCCUCGAAUUGAAAGUCACAAACCCUAACAUGGUGAUAGGUCGUAAACGUGCCCAGAGAUACAAUUAACUUUCCAAAAAUAAUCAACACAUCAUGACAAACAUAUAUAUGCAAUUAAUUUUCGUUAAGAAUGCAUCAAUGAUUGAAUUCGAAUCAAAGUUUAAACUAGCAAAUCGUGACUUACAGGGACGCGUUCUUGAUGCUUUAGAGCCAGGGAAUGAUUGGGAUAGCUUCAGAGCACCUUCAGGAACGUGUUUGGAUUAAUGAAGCUCCAUGUAAUGGUCUCCAACUUUGAAUUUUCUUGAAUUUUUUGGAGUCCUUUAGGGUUCUUUGAGGCAGAAACUUCAGCGUCCUUGUGAUCUGCAAUGCUUAUGCUCUUAUAGGAGAAUGAUUUUAGGUUAAAAAUCUGGACCAAAUCUUCUUGAAUCAAUCAUUUGAAAUUUGAUUUCAAUAUGAUUUUAAAGUUUCUAUUUUUGCCAAAUUUCAUAUCCAAUCUUCAACAAAUUUGCUUGCACGAAAUUAAAUGGAAAAUAUGUUAUGAAUGGUGAUUGGAUUUGAUUAAGACAAGAUCUCUACUAGAAUAUUUGAUUUUUACUUGAUUUACAUGAAUUAAAUCACUUUUAAAUGAUUAAAAAUUCAUAAAAAAUCAAAUAAAUAUUACAAAAUUUGUGACAAUCAGAUUUGGGGCCUCAGAUUUCGUGACAAUCAUUUUGAACCACUUUUACUUCACAUUUUUCUUUCAAAAUUGUCCAAAUUUGACAAGCCAUAUCUCCCUCAAUUUUUAAGGUAUGGAUGAGUUCUAGGACUUUUUGUAAACCUCAAGACGUCCUCUACAAGCCACUUUGGAAGAUUUUUUUCCAUUUGAGGAUUUUAUCUUGAUGAUAUGGGCUUUGACAAAAACCUGCUUUUGGUUGACUUUCAAAGAGGACCUAUAAUCUUUUGAUCCAUACCUCUCAAAUGAAGCAUUUUUAGACUUGGCAUGUGAGAGACAAAGUUGUAGAAAAUUCAAUUUCAUUCAAAUUGAGCUUUGGAUGGGAAAUUUAUGAUGUUCCAUGUGAAAGUUAUGGCUGGUCAAAGUUCAGUUGACUUUAGGUUAAAAAACUCUAAUUUAGAAACUUUAGGUUUUGUUAAGUUCUGAACUUUCCUUCAUGAAUAAUGAUCAAUCCUUGAUCAAAUGAUGAAUGAUACUUCAAAAUAAGGAUGUUGACAAAAAAUCGGGAAUUUUGACUGUACUUUGACCACAGUUGUCUUUUAGGUCAAACUAGUUGAAUGUCUGAACAAUUGACUGAGUAAUUUUUGGAUUUGAAGCUUGAAAUUUGUCAUAGAAAUAGUUUGGAAAAUAAUAAGCCACAUGAAAUCCAUUGGAGACCUUGAUUUAUUAAUUUUCUUUAGAGAAAUCAAAACCCUAGUUUAGGAGGUCAUUAUUUAGGACAGUAUGUCCUUGAGUCUUGAACCUUGGCUUGAGUUUGAAAGUGGAAAUGAGAUGGGCAAAUUUUGGGGUAUGACAGCUGCCCCUGUUCAAUCUUCUUAAACCUGAAGAUAUAGAGUGGUUUGUAUGUCAGUCGGUAUCUAAAGGUGGAAGAUGAUUGAAUACUAAAAUACCCAGAAAUUUGCGCUUGCUGAUGUUCGAACUUGUGUCAGAGAUGAGCUUAGAGAUGCCAUCCGCAGAAAGUAUGAAGUGGGCUUAAAGAUGCCAUCCAGGAAAAGUAUUGUCGGAUAUGGGCUUAAAGAUGCCAUCAGUUGAUGUGCUGACGUGUGUCAGGCUGAGUCGUACAUUAGACCAUAUAUGUGGCGUCAGAAUUAAGUUGUUGGCUCGAUUGCCCUGAGCGUCUGGAUCAUAUGAGUGAAUUAAUUGUCGUGAAUCUAUUGUCAUGAUUCCAUUGUCGUAAAUUCAUUGCUGUAACUCAAUUGUCGUGACUCCGUCGUCGUGACCCUAUUGUCAUGAUCGUUUCCGAACUGAAUAUCGGGAUUAGAUAUGUGACUUAACUAUUGUGACUCUAUUGUCGUGAUUCCAUUAUCGUGACUCAGUUGUCGUGACUCUAUUGUCAUGACUCAGUUGUCGUGAUUCCAUUAUUGUGACUCAGUUGUUGUGAUUCCAUUAUCGUGACUUAGUUGUCGUGAUUCCAUUAUCGUGACUCAGUUGUCGUGAUUCCAUUAUCGUGACUCAAUUGUCGUGAUUCCAUUAUCGUGACUCCAUUGUGUAACACCCUGGAUUUCCAUAUGGUCAAGUGGUAGCAGGAAUUGCUAUGAAUAUGUACUUAACCCCUAGGUACAUGGUUCGAUUCCUGCGGGAGGCAAAAACAAUAUUUCCUGGGCAGCCGGUAAGCGGACCUAGGGGGAUUAUUGAUUAAGCCGGUAACAUGCUCGGUUGGCCGACACGGUUGAUGCGUGCAGCGGAUAUCGGGGUGUUACACAUUGUCGUGACUCCAUUGUCGUGACUCCAUUGUCGUGACUCCAUUGUCGUGACUCCAUUGUCAUGACUCUAUUGUCGUGACUCCAUUGUCGUGUUCUUUUCUGAAUUGAGCGUCAUGAUUAAGUCUAUCUCUUUCUUUGAUCGUGUCCGCACCGUUCAUGAUGUUGAUCGUGUCAGCACUGUUCGUAGUAACUGAAUUAGAUCUUGGAAAGAUGAUCGUGUCUACACCGUUCGUGAUGAUAGAAUUAGAUCUUUGAAUGUUGAUCGUCUCGGCACCUUGUGGGGUAACCAAUUUAGAUCUUGUAAUGUCGAUCGUCUCAGCAUCUUGUGGGGUAACCAAUAUAGAUCUUUGUAAUGUCAAUCGUCUCAACAUCGUGUAUAGCCACUGAUUUAGAUCUUGGAAUGAUCGUCUCCACCGUUUGUAUUGAUGGAUUUAGAUCUUUGAUUGUUGAUCGUCUCGACGCCUUGUGGGGUAACCAAUUUAGAUCUUUGAGAAUUGGAUAUAUUGUUUAUCUGCUUGUACAUGUAUCCUGAAAAGGUAAAGUUAAUCUUUAUGCAAUGUCAUGAUGCAUGUAUUAUAUGAUGAGUCUCUCAAAAUAAAUGAGAAACUUGAAUGUUAUGUAUGAAUUUAUUAUGAUAUAUGAUGUGUAAGCAUGAUUUAUGCUAUCUGGAGUAUACUAGUAAUUUUUCUUGAUUGAGAAAUUAAAUCUCUAUAUCAUUGUGAUUUUGAUGUAUGGUCUUGUUUUGAAGAUGCUCCACUAGGGAUUUAUGAUUUUCUGCUUGGAGAUGAGAGCCAUUUGAAUGAUUGAUCCUUGAUGCACCCUGACUAGGGAUAAGAGAGAUGAAUAGACCCUGUUGGAGGAGGGAUGGAAGAUAGAUACUUAAAGAUUACUUUGUGGGGAUAUGAUCAUGUGACACUGGCUCUGUGGGAAAACAUGGAUGCCUUGAACAUUGUCCCUAAUGAUUGUAGUAACUGUCGUUCUAGGACUUGUAUUGAUUGGGACACACCAAUGAGUGUUGAUCGAAGUGUUUGAAUAUGCCUUGCAUAGCUUUGCCCCAGUUAAUAGGGACCUUGGAGAGUUUUGCCUCGUGGGGACCUUAUGAGAUGCGUACUAUGGGUGACUUGCCCCUAGUAAUCAUAAACUUAGGGUGAUUCCCCUUACUGGUCGGGAAGUAGCAUCAGACCCACUCGGGUGUAUGCCCCUGAUUAUUUGACAUUCUUGAGAGAUUAUCGGAAUCUUGACUUGAUUGCCCCAGAUCGACUGGAUAAAUUGUGUCAUGCCCCUUGUAUUUGUAGGAGACGUUGCUUUUGAAAUGAUUUCUUCUGUCGAGAUGAAUUUUGAUCAUUA